CCUACGGGAGGCAGCAGUGGGGGAUAUUGCACAAUGGGGGAAACCCUGAUGCAGCGACGCCGCGUGGGUGAAGAAGCGCCUCGGCGCGUAAAGCUCUGUCAGCAGGGAAGAAAAUGACGGUACCUGAAGAAGAAGCCCCGGCUAACUACGUGCCAGCAGCCGCGGUAAUACGUAGGGGGCAAGCGUUAUCCGGAUUUACUGGGUGUAAAGGGGGCGCAGACGGCGAGGCAAGCCAGGAGUGAAAGGCCGGGGCCCAACCCCGGGACUGCUCUUGAAACUGCGUGGCUAGAGUGCAGGAGGGGCAGGCGGAAUUCCUGGUGUAGCGGUGAAAUGCGUAGAUAUCAGGAGGAACACCGGUGGCGAAGGCGGCCUGCUGGACUGCAACUGACGUUGAGGCCCGAAAGCGUGGGGAGCAAACAGGAUUAGAUACCCCUGUAGUC
rnacentral:rRNA from 1 species